ACUCCUACGGGAGGCAGCAGUAGGGAAUCUUCCACAAUGGGCGCAAGCCUGAUGGAGCAACACCGCGUGAGUGAAGAAGGGUUUCGGCUCGUAAAGCUCUGUUGUUAAAGAAGAACACGUAUGAGAGUAACUGUUCAUACGUUGACGGUAUUUAACCAGAAAGUCACGGCUAACUACGUGCCAGCAGCCGCGGUAAUACGUAGGUGGCAAGCGUUAUCCGGAUUUAUUGGGCGUAAAGAGAGUGCAGGCGGUUUUCUAAGUCUGAUGUGAAAGCCUUCGGCUUAACCGGAGAAGUGCAUCGGAAACUGGAUAACUUGAGUGCAGAAGAGGGUAGUGGAACUCCAUGUGUAGCGGUGGAAUGCGUAGAUAUAUGGAAGAACACCAGUGGCGAAGGCGGCUACCUGGUCUGCAACUGACGCUGAGACUCGAAAGCAUGGGUAGCGAACAGGAUUAGAUACCCUGGUAGGAAA
rnacentral:rRNA from 1 species